CUGUUACGAGCGAUGGACAUCCAAGCAAGUUAUAGUUAUCGUCUCUUCAUCGGGUUCAAGUAGUGAGUCAGGGAGGCGAGGCGGGGGAGACUCACAGCAGACCAGCCCGUCAGUCACUCGCCUACUUCGUGAUCCCGGACAGCUCGGCAGUGGUGACGCCACUGGUCAGUGAAAAGCUGGACGGCACUGCCAAAUACGCACCCAUCAACGCGGGUGGAUACAUGAUAGCCAAACUGAGAAGCACGUUCUAUUAACGUACACAUAUAUAUGUAUGUGCAUAGCGGUCUACUGAGGUGGACGUUCUAUAUUAACGUACACAUAUAUACGUGUAUAGCGGUCUACUGAGAAGCACGUUCUAUUACUGUACAUAUAUACAUGUAAUUAAACGGUCUACUGAGAAGGGAGUUCUAUUAACAUACAUAUAUACAUCAGGAGUAGAUAAUAGGGAAUUAAUUCCCAAUUAUCUACUCCUGAUAUACAUGUAUAUAGCAGUCUGCUGAGAAGCGAGUUCUAUUAACGUACAUCAAGAGUAGAUAAUAAAACCAUAAAUGGUUUUAUUAUCUACUCUUGACGUACAUAUAUAGUGCCCUACUGAGAAGGUAGUAUCCUGACGUACAUAUACAUAGCGGUCUAUUGCGAAGCGAAUUCUACGGUACAUAUAGAGUGCCCUAUUCAGAAGGGAGUUCUAUUGCCGUACACAUACAUAGCGGCGCGUGUGCAUACACGCAUGCGCGCACGUAUGCGUGCGUGCACAUAUACGAAUGCGCGCACGCGUACACGCACGCACGUUUUCCUGUAAAAAAUUACUUACGUUUGGCUGGGUAUUACUGUACGUGGGUUUCAUCACGAGUUUAUUAUUUAUGUAGCAAUUUUGAAUUUGACGUUUAAGAUAUAUUUCUCGUAUUUUUAUCUCUUUCAAAAUAUGGUCUGAAAUAAUGUGAACGCCAUGAAGGGUGAAGUAGUUAUUAAUUUCUACAAGCUUAUACGAUAUGUAAGUAAAAACAUGCGCGUAUAUUCGCGGUUAUGGUCGGAAUGCUGUUCUGAAUGAGAAUAAAUUGGCGAUUGAAGUGCCAUAGUAUGGGUAGAAUUGAUUUUAACUAUGGACUGCUAAAUAGGACUUUUACGUUUUUUUCAACACUAUAGAAUUCAUAUCAUGAUAUAAAUAAAUAUAAUAUUACAUGCAAAAA